CAGCUGACUGCUGAGCACAAGGUACAUUUCCAACAAGGGAAUCUGUAUCAUAAGAAGUUCAAUUAUUAAUCAUGGCGUCACAAGGAAAAACAAGUCUCCGUUUUGUCACCUGGAACACUCAUGGUAUUAAAAGCCCAGACCUAAAGUUUUUUAAGGUGUUGAGCAGUCUCAGUAAUCUUCAAGCUGAUAUUGUCUUUAUACAAGAGACACAUGUUGGGCCAAAGUGUUACCAAAUCUUGACAGAUGUUAAAAACUGGAAAGUCUAUUUCACUGUUCAGCUCUCUACCAGUAAAGGAGUCGCAAUACUGAUAAAAAACAAUGUACCUUUUAAGUACAUAUGCCACGAUGAGGAUUGUAGUGGAGGUUACAUUGUGCUCUUUUGUCAUCUGUAUGGUGAACUGUACACUCUUGUUAAUGUGUACAAUCAUAAGGCAGACAGACUUGUAUUGGGUAGGUUGAAAGAAUACUUGAUGGAAACAGCUGAGGGUGUGCUAGUGGUUGGAGGUGAUUUCAACACAGUUUUGCAUCCCUGCUUUGAUCGGAGUCCUUCAUCUUCAAGGCAUUCACCAUUCAGAGCUAUUUUAGAAGACUUUAUUGUUUCUCUGAAUCUCAGACACCUGGUCAUACUUACACUUUGCCGAUGAGGGUUUUACACGACAUCAGAAUAAGAGUCACUCCAGGAUAGACAUCUUUUUCAUGCGCAGUGACAUAGUGGGAUGAGCCCGUAGUAUCACAGUAGAGCAAAGUGACAUUUCUGAUCAUAAUCCGGUUGUCCUGGAACUUGAAGUUCAGCAACAGACAGGAGAUAAAUUUCCAGAAGUUGCCUUAUAUGUUAAGGAAACAUAUAAUGGAAGACCCAACAGGAUGUCAGGGAAGAUUAGUGGGGCAGAAAUACUGAGUGUCAUCAGGACUUUGACUGACUCACUAGAACAAAGACCUGGUCACAAGUGGACUACUACAAAAAGAAACGACUUCCACUGACAGAAACCUUAAAAAUAAACUACAACAACAUGUUAAAGACAAAUCAUGUAUCUGAAGCCUUUAAAGUAUCUCAUCUUUCACGAGACAGACACAUCUUCAGCAUAGAAUAUUUGAUAUUCUCUCAAAUUUUAGCCAAUCGCCUUAGUGCGUACAUUUUUCCCUAUUUCAAGGAAAAGCUAGAGACAAAUCUUGAUAAAUUUCUCGCUGUGAAGUUUCUGAAAGUCACACAGAAAAUCAAGUUGUCUUUCCUUGAGACAAGCCGUGAACUUGAAAAAGACUUGAAAAAGAAACUCAGCCCCUCUGCCCCUCCAGCAAAGUUCCGUAUUCUGGAGUUCCUUCUUCCAGAAGUCCAAGGCUCUAGGGAACUCAGACUUUUGCUGCCUGGCUGUCCACUCAGCAGCACUGUCCUUAAUUUAGCUCUGAAUAAGAUAGAUUGGAUUCUCAAUAGUGAGACGGAGUGCAGGAGCAGUGUUUGUUUUCACAGACAGGCUUUGCUCAUACAUGCACACCAGAGCAAAAAGAGGCAAGUUGUUAAGGUACUAAAGAAAUUCCAGGACGAUUCAGGAAUUAUAUUUGAUAGAAAAGAAAAUUUCACAAAAUAGACUGAGAAGGCACACAAAUGUGUGUGAAAGCUAGAUUACAUUUCUAGACUUACUGUUGCAGGAUUACAACAAAUCAAGACAGAAGCAAGACAAACUAUUUAAUUAUAUAUUGUCAUACUAACUUUAAAAUACUGUGGAUGUACAAAGCAAACUUGACUCUAAAUAUUUACAGAACUUUUAAAGGGCUUAUAUGAUUUUGUUGACUUUUGUUAUGUUUUUAUUAAAUGGAUUUCUUUAUUAUUGUGUUGACUACUGGUUGUAAAUAUGUUUAGUGUAAUUUCUUGAAUGUAGUCCAUUCUGAAGUAAUGAUAUCUUACAUCCAUAUAGUUUUCUUUAUUGGGAUUGAAAAACAGUUGGAAUGCACUUCAUUUUAUAAAAUCUUGGAGGAAAAGAGUCCUUCUGUUGGCCAUUUCAGGAAUGACCGUAUAUAAGAGGGCUUCUGAUACUGUCUACGGUUACUUAUGUUAAAAUGCUCUUCAUGAGCUGGGAUUAUUGGAGUUAUCUGUAAGAUAUAAGGAUAUAUUUGAAUGCAUAAAAUGUAUUUUUAUUAAAAUGUUUUAAGGUUUCAGAGAUAUAACUCUUGUAUUUCAUUUUCUUGUCCAGAUUUGUAAAUUAUUACAGCAAUGGUACAGUGCUUUGUGUCUGACUGCAAUAAUUAUAAUUAUAUAAACAGCAGGUUUUAGCCUUUGUCUAGUCUAAUGCUACAUUCAGUCAUCUUUACUGUAUUUAUGAGGAUAUUGUUUUUGGGAAUCCUUAAUAUGUCAUAUUUCUUUCUUAAUAAAUAAAUGCAGUGUCAUGUAAAA